UUGUUGUAGUUAAUGAGUGUGGUCACAGAUAAAAGGAUAAGGGCCACUAGGGCCAGACGCCGCCGGUGUCGUUGAAAAUGUCAGUAACUACCAGUGUUCCGUUCAUGUCAGUACAAUGGAUUGAGAUUAUAAAAUUUGAUUUUAUGACAUGUCGAUGUCGUUGCUUAUUGAUAAAGAAUUCUAGAUUAUUAAAUCGAGGAUUAAAUGUAUUAAUUUGUGUUAUCAAAAAUAUCAAUACUCAUUAGUCAGUUUUAUAGUCACUAUAGUAUUAAUCGUCCAAAUAUUUAGAAACUUAGUUUCUUAAAAACAAGGAAUCGUUUGAAUCUAGAAGUGAUUGAGCUAGGUUCAGGUAGAAUGUGUUGGUAUCAGACUGUUGCAUGUUUCGGAUGUUUCGGCUAAAUCAAAGCUUAUUAAAAGAACAUUGGAAAAUUUUAAGUUGUCAGGAAGAGGAUACAUUUUGGCAGAAAAAGUACCUUGGGAUGAAUAUCAAUGACUGUUUAUUACCAUAAAAUUGAUAUGUAAUCCAAAAUCGAUGUUUUUCUAUAAUUAAAAAGUUAUCAUUUACUUAUCAAAUUAUAGUAGUUAUUUUAAUAUUAUUAAUUAUUAUUAAUUUACUAUUUUUAGAGAAAUAAACGUAUCAAUAAAUUAUGUGAGUGGCGUCAUGUAAUCUAUAAAGAAGAUAUUUUGGAAUAAGCCAGAAUUAAUGACACUAUUGCUUGGACAACUGCACCAACUAACAUAAUCUCAACAAAAAAAUUAAAUUUUCCUACAACCUAUCUUCAACAAUAUUUGCAUAUUAUCAAUAGAAAACCUAUAAUAGUAUUCUAGAACAGAACCGCACCAUCACAGGCAUUAUAAUGUCAAUAUAUUAAACUAUAGCUUAAUAAAAAAUAUUAUUGUUUAGAUAGUUAAAAGGUACAAUUAUCAUACAACAUCAUAUUAUAAUGACAAUAAUAACAAUGAAUUUAAUGUUAAAUUAGUUACCUUAGAAAGUAGGAAAUUGAUAUAAUCAAGAUAAAUACAAACAAUGGUUUGACUUUCACUCUUAAAUAAUCCUUUUGGAUAUAAUUGUUCAGUAUUCUUUCUGGAUUACUGUGAUUGUAAAUUUGGCAAAUUUUCAAAACAAUUUUGAAGAUCUGUUUUCUUUCUUCUAGAGAUAAAAUUAAAUUCUUCAUUAUUAUUAUUUAAUUGCACAAAUUUAGAUGAUGAAUAUUAAGUCAAUAAAAAUAAAAGAUACCUAUGUUAUAAA